rnacentral:lncRNA from 1 species
UCUGUCUGUGUGUGUGUGUGUCCCUCUGUCUGUGUGUGUGUGUGUCCCUCUGUCUGUGUGUGUGUGUGUGUCCCUCUGUCUGUGUGUGUGUGUGUCCCUCUGUCUGUGUGUGUGUGUGUCCCUCUGUCUGUGUGUGUGUGUGUCACUCUGUCUGUGUGUGUGUGUGUCCCUCUGUCUGUGUGUGUGUGUGUGUCCCUCUGUCUGUGUGUGUGUGUGUCCCUCUGCUCUGUGUGUGUGUGUGUCCCUCUGUCUGUGUGUGUGUGUGUCCCUCUGUCUGUGUGUGUGUGUGUCCCUCUGCUCUGUGUGUGUGUGUGUCCCUCUGUCUCUGUGUGUGUGUGUGUCCCUCUGUCUGUGUGUGUGUGUGUCCCUCUGUCUGUGUGUGUGUGUGUCCCUCUGUCUGUGUGUGUGUGUCCCUCUGUCUGUGUGUGUGUGUGUCCCUCUGUCUGUGUGUGUGUGUCCCUCUGUCUGUGUGUGUGUGUGUCCCUCUGUCUGUGUGUGUGUGUCCCUCUGUCUGUGUGUGUGUGUGUCCCUCUGUCUGUGUGUGUGUGUGUGUGUCCCUCUGUCUGUGUGUGUGUGUGUGUCCCUCUGUGUCUGUGUGUGUGUGUGUCCCUCUGUGUCUGUGUGUGUGUGUGUCCCUCUGUCUGUGUGUGUGUGUGUGUCCCUCUGUGUCUGUGUGUGUGUGUGUGUUUCUUCUGUAGGAUGUGCAACAGUUGUAUAGUACAUCUCUUGUGAUUGGAUGCUCACGUGUUCGCUGUCUAUCUAAAUACUACUGCCUCCCUUCAAGGUGUGAUUGGUACUUGUAGUUCUCCCUGGUAGUAUGUGGAGGGAGAAUUGUGUGGUUUGUACUUGUAGUAUGUGGAGGGAGAGGUGUGUGUAGUCUUGUUACCGUGUGCUUCCUGAUCCUCUUCCAUCUCAUAUGAAUAAUGCAGUAGUAUAACAGGAGGCUGCUGGCUGGCUCACUGUGCCCAGCCUGAGGCCCAAUGGCACCCUAGUUCCUAUAUAGGGCGGCAG